rnacentral:rRNA from 1 species
CGGGGCUUAAAGUCUUGUAAUUGGAAUGAUGGGAAUUUAAACCUCUUCCAGAGUAUCAAUUGGAGGGCAAGUCUGGUGCCAGCAGCCGCGGUAAUUCCAGCUCCAAUAGCGUAUAUUAAAAUUGUUGCAGUUAAAAAGCUCGUAGUUGAAUUUCUGCUGCAUUGCUUGUGUCCCUCUGGGGUCUGUGCAUGUGGCUUUUUUCGGACGGAGUUUCUUUGUCUGAAUGUUUACUUUGAGAAAAUUAGAGUGCUCAAAGCAGGCUUUCGCCUUGAAUAGUUUAGCAUGGAAUAAUAAAGUAGGACUUUGGUUCUAUUUUGUUGGUUUUAGGUACCAAAGUAAUGGUUAAUAGGAACAGUUGGGGGCAUUCGUAUUUAACUGUCAGAGGUGAAAUUCUUAGAUUUGUUAAAGACGAACUACUGCGAAAGCAUUUGCCAAGGAUGUUUUCAUUAAUCAAGAAC